GUGCCUAUAGCUUAGCGGUCUAAAACACAUAGCUCAUGACUGUCGAGAGCCUGAGUUCAAAUCUCAGAGGGCGCA
rnacentral:tRNA from 1 species